ACUGCUCAGUAACACGUGGACAACCUGCCCUUAGGACGGGGAUAAACCCGGGAAACUGGGUAUAAUACCCGAUAGGUCUCGAUUGCUGGAAUGCAUCGAGAUUUAAAGCUCCGGCGCCUAAGGAUGGGUCUGCGGCCUAUCAGGUAGUAGUGGGUGUAGCGUACCUACUAGCCUACGACGGGUACGGGUUGUGAGAGCAAGAGCCCGGAGAUGGAUUCUGAGACACGAAUCCAGGCCCUACGGGGUGCAGCAGGCGCGAAAACUUUACAAUGCUGGCAACAGCGAUAAGGGAACCUCGAGUGCCAGGUUACAAAUCUGGCUGUCGAGAUGCCCAAAGAGCAUUUCAUAGCAAGGGCCGGGCAAGACCGGUGCCAGCCGCCGCGGUAACACCGGCGGCUCGAGUGGUAACCGUUAUUAUUGGGUCUAAAGGGUCUGUAGCCGGCCGGAUAAGUCUCUUGAGAAAUCUGGCAGCUUAACUGUCAGGCUUUCAGGAGAUACUGUCUGGCUCGAGGCCGGGAGAGGUGAGAGGUACUUCAGGGGUAGGGGUGAAAUCUUGUAAUCCUUGAAGGACCACCAGUGGCGAAGGCGUCUCACCAGAACGGACCUGACGGCAAGGGACGAAAGCUAGGGGCACGAACCGGAUUAGAUACCCGGGUAGUCCUAGCCGUAAACGAUACUCGCUAGGUGUCGGCCACGGUGCGACCGUUGUCGGUGCCGUAGGGAAGCCGUGAAGCGAGCCACCUGGGAAGUACGGCCGCAAGGCUGAAACUUAAAGGAAUUGGCGGGGGAGCAC
rnacentral:rRNA from 1 species